AGAGGAAGGAAGUCGUAACAAGGUUUCCGUAGGUGAACCUGCGGAAGGAUCAUUGUCGAAACCUGCAAAAGCAGACCGCGAACUUGUCAAACCACUCGGGAUCGAGACGCGAGGGAAACCUCGUGUCGAGUCCCCCUCCCUUGUGCUUGCGUUUGAUUUCAUUCGCUUGUACCAUGGGCUAACGAACCCCGGCGCGGCAUGCGCCAAGGAAUACUCAAAGAAGCGUCCUCCUUCAUCACCCCGUUCUCGGUGCGCGAUGGGGGCAGGCACGUCUCUAUAAAGUCUAAACGACUCUCGGCAACGGAUAUCUCGGCUCUCGCAUCGAUGAAGAACGUAGCGAAAUGCGAUACUUGGUGUGAAUUGCAGAAUCCCGUGAACCAUCGAGUCUUUGAACGCAAGUUGCGCCUGAAGCCAUUCGGUUGAAGGCACGUCUGCCUGGGCGUCACGCAUCGCGUCGCACCCAAUCCAAUUGCCCUUCGGGAUGAUUGAGAUUCGGGGCGGAUAUUGGUCCCCCGUGUGCGCACAAGUGCGCGGUCGGCCUAAAUGCGAACCUGCGGCGACUCGCGUCACGACCGGUGGUGGUUGAUAACUCAACUUUCGUUUUGUCGUGCCGAACGUAGUCGCAUGUUGGGCGUCAUUGUUAACCCAAUGGCUCGAUCAACAACUCGAGCUUUCGACCGCGA
rnacentral:rRNA from 1 species